CAGCCGCCACGGGAAUACGUAGGGUGCAAGCGUUAAUCGGAAUUACUGGGCGUAAAGCGUGCGCAGGCGGUGUUGUAAGACUGAUGUGAAAUCCCCGGGCUCAACCUGGGAACUGCAUUGGUGACUGCAACGCUGGAGUGCGGCAGAAGGGGAUGGAAUUCCGCGUGUAGCAGUGAAAUGCGUAGAUAUGCGGAGGAACACCGAUGGCGAAGGCGGCCCCCUGGACAAAGACUGACGCUCAGGUGCGAAAGCGUGGGGAGCAAACAGGAUUAGAUACCCCCGUAGUCCCUGUCUCUUAUAC
rnacentral:rRNA from 1 species